GUAAGCGUAGUUCAACAAGAACAUUAGACUGUGGAUCUGAAAACAGAAGCCCUGGACCUUCUCGCUAACC
rnacentral:tRNA from 1 species